AGCGAACGCUGGCGGCAGGCCUAACACAUGCAAGUCGAACGAACUCUUCGGAGUUAGUGGCGGACGGGUGAGUAACACGUGGGAACGUGCCUUUUGGUUCGGAAUAACUCAGGGAAACUUGUGCUAAUACCGAAUGUGCCCUUCGGGGGAAAGAUUUAUCGCCAUUAGAGCGGCCCGCGUCUGAUUAGCUAGUUGGUGAGGUAACGGCUCACCAAGGCGACGAUCAGUAGCUGGUCUGAGAGGUUGACCAGCCACACUGGGACUGAGACACGGCCCAGACUCCUACGGGAGGCAGCAGUGGGGAAUCUUGCGCAAUGGGCGAAAGCCUGACGCAGCCAUGCCGCGUGAAUGAUGAAGGUCUUAGGAUUGUAAAAUUCUUUCACCGGGGACGAUAAUGACGGUACCCGGAGAAGAAGCCCCGGCUAACUUCGUG
rnacentral:rRNA from 1 species